GACGGAGGAUGCAAGCGUUAUCCGGAAUGAUUGGGCGUAAAGCGUCUGCAGGUGGCAGUUCAAGUCUGCUGUCAAAGACCGGGGCUUAACUUCGGAAAGGCAGUGGAAACUGAACAGCUAGAGUAUGGUAGGGGCAGAGGGAAUUCCUGGUGUAGCGGUGAAAUGCGUAGAGAUCAGGAAGAACAUCGGUGGCGAAGGCGCUCUGCUGGACCAUAACUGACACUCAGGGACGAAAGCUGGGGGAGCGAAUGGG
rnacentral:rRNA from 1 species